rnacentral:lncRNA from 1 species
UUCUGUGAUGUUAAUCAAAAACUGUGUGAUUUUGCUCAGAAAGCUGCACGUAAACGGCGCAUCAAAGAAUCAAAAUUGACUCUGACUGGCAAGAUAGAUUCUUUAUCUUCAUCUUCAUCUUCAGGAGCAGAAGGGAAUAGAAAACCUUUGAAAAAAUUGUCAAGGUUGAAAGAGUUAGUCGUACUUAUAAUGAACAUUCUGCCCUGCCUUCACUUUUAGGGCUGCAAGACAAGGAAAGAAGAGAGGCAACCAAGGCACCUUUUGAAAAAAUUGUCAAGGUUGAAAGAGUUAGUCUUGCUGAUAAUGAAAAUUUUGCCCUGCCUUCACUUUUAGAGCUGCAAGAUGAGGAAGGAAGAGAUAAAAUGAAGGCGCCUUUUGAAAAAAUUGUCGAGUUUGAAAGAGCUAGUCCUAGUGGUAAUGAACAUUCUGCCCUGCCGUCAUUUUUAGAGCAUCAAGACAAGGAAGAGAGGGAUACAACCAAGGUACCUUUUGAUAAUAUUGUCAAAGUUGAAAGAGCUAGUCCUACUGAUAACCAACAUUCACUGCUGCAGGAUGAGGAAGGAAGAGAUACAACCAAGGCAGAGCCUGAUAAGGGAUCAAUGCAAUCAGGAGAAGCUCAAGUGGUUGAAACUGCCACUAAUGAUGAGAAGUUUGAUUUGUAC